UAGGGAAUCUUCGGCAAUGGACGAAAGUCUGACCGAGCAACGCCGCGUGAGUGAAGAAGGUUUUCGGAUCGUAAAACUCUGUUGUUAGAGAAGAACAAGGACGUUAGUAACUGAACGUCCCCUGACGGUAUCUAACCAGAAAGCCACGGCUAACUACGUGCCAGCAGCCGCGGUAAUACGUAGGUGGCAAGCGUUGUCCGGAUUUAUUGGGCGUAAAGCGAGCGCAGGCGGUUUCUUAAGUCUGAUGUGAAAGCCCCCGGCUCAACCGGGGAGGGUCAUUGGAAACUGGGAGACUUGAGUGCAGAAGAGGAGAGUGGAAUUCCAUGUGUAGCGGUGAAAUGCGUAGAUAUAUGGAGGAACACCAGUGGCGAAGGCGGCUCUCUGGUCUGUUACUGACGCUGAGGCUCGAAAGCGUGGGGAGCAAACAGG
rnacentral:rRNA from 1 species